rnacentral:lncRNA from 1 species
CACCGCAAUGUUUCCUAUUCAUGAAUCUUUCCCCUCUAAAUCGAUUGCAAGAAGCAGCCACGAUCCCCUUUCUCUUCCAUCUGAACCAAGACCCAACACCUCGCCAACGACGCCUUGCCCCCUAGCCUUCUUGUGCGGAGCCGCGUCCCCAGCGAUGGCGACAGAAGAGUAUCUCAUUGACACCCUGGGCUUGAGCCAAUCGUUGAGCUGUGCACCAAAUCAGUAAUUGAAGGAGGCGAGGAGGUAGUAUCUAAGCGUGGAGGAGGCUGGGGUGGGUGGGGUCACCGGCAACGGCCCGACGCCGUGCUACCGAGUCAGAUCCCGGCGAAGCCACGCCGGCCGCCACCAAGCCCUCGCGACCGCCGUCGCCCUCAUGAAAUCCUCGCGCCAUCGGCGACAGUUGACGUGCCUCGCGCCGUCCGAGAUGUGGCUGUGGCUGCGAGAAGCAGUUCUCAUCCGAGAGAGAGGGAUCGACAGAUCGUGACAGAGGGGGAGAAGUGGGAUGGUGGUGGGAAGGGGAUCACACUCGUUCGUCUGUUGAGCCGAAUUUUUUUUUCGGCUCUGAAUCUUGUACGUGGGCUGAGUUGGCCUUGGAUUUUUCUAAGGUGAGGGCAUGGC